ensembl:lncRNA
AUCUCUAUCUGAAGAUUGCUCCUCUUAGAGUCCUUCUGUGAGCCCAGGACAUGGCUCAUAGAAUGAAAGACAGCUCCUAAGUUGCAUGAGAGGGAUUUUAUCUGAAAAAUGAUUAGCAGAACAAUCCAACUGCACACUGCAUUCUAACAGGGAAGACUGAAACUCCAAGGAUGUUGAUGGCUGCAUGCCAUAGUGUCUCAGGAUUGGUAAAUACUGAUACAGAAGGAAACAACAAGGCAAAUGAGCUAUCAGUGAAGAACAGGAGUUUCUGUGUGGAUGGAUAUUUAACUGGGGACGAAGAAGGUGCCAUUUUACUUGUUUGUGGAUGCUCCAGGAUACACUGAAAAAAACAAGGUGCUCCCUACUUCACCAGAAUUGGUAUCUACAGAAAUUAGGGUGGGCUUUGUCAUGCUGCUCACUGGAGAGGAAAAUACCACCUUUUUUUGUAACUCAUAUGGCUAUAGUCAAAUGAAGAUGCUUCCUGUAUAGUUUUGACAUUUAGCUUUCCUCUUAAAAACAAAUUCAUGAGCAGUGUCGUCUUUGUUUUUGCUUUUUUAGUGGAAUAAAUUUAUCACAGGAUUGGCAGAUAUAAAAAAAAAAAAACGACUGGUUUCCUCCAUUGCCCACCAUCACAGAAAUUUUAUAGAGUGGAACAAUCUGAAAACUUGUGGUUUUAGAGCUUAUAUUACAUGUACUCAGAUAAGAACAUGCUGUAUGUACCUUUAUAAGUUAGUGGUCACCUGUGAAAAUAAGAGUGUUGUUCUUUCCAUCUUCCUGUUGCUAUCUCUAUCUGUAGAUGUCAAUGAAAAUUUUUGUCAGGGACUAAGAAUAUUUUUGUCAAUCUGCUUGAAAAUCCAGCAAUAUAUAACCCUUGACACAAAGUGUAUUUGAAGUCUUGCUGUGUUUUUAGUCUAUCUGUGAAAAUACUGUUUUACUUUGUGUCCUUAUCAUUGCAUUGUUUUCUUAUAUAGCUUAUACAGUUUAUCACUUUUAAUGUCCCUCAGGAAAAAGUUCCAGUUCAUGCUUUCACCAGUAAAUCUAUCACAUUGAUUUUUAGAUUUGAUGAUAUUCAAAGUAAUCUUAUGUAGGAUAAGUGAAUCUAUUGAAAGGUAUUAGUAAUAAACCUAUUACUGGGAUAGAAUGACAUAAUUUAGGGUCCAUAAUAAUCAGUUAGAACCACUGUGUAUCACCUUUUGUAAAUGUUCACUAAUUUUCAUAAAAUAAAGGUGUUCUUCACUUC